CCUAACACCGAUGGCAUUCAUGUCCAAAUGUCAUCUGGUGUCACAAUCCUCAACUCCAAGAUUGCAACCGGUGACGAUUGUGUCUCAAUUGGCCCCGGAACCUCAAAUUUGUGGAUAGAAGGCGUUGCUUGUGGACCUGGCCAUGGAAUUAGGUACGACAUCAAAAUUAUAUAUUUAUCCAUGAUUGAUCAAACUAGCUAAAUGCAUACUAUUUCAUAAUAUAUGUUAUAAUGUAUAUCUUUUUUCUUCGUUGCUUAAUGACAUUUGAACUUAGGACAUCUUUCAAUAAAGUGGAGAUUAAUUGGUUGCUAGUAGAGAUUCAUUGCCUACAAAAAGUAUAUCUUUCUUUUGGGUGGAUGUUCUAGUUGUAAAUUUAACAUUGCUUUAUUUGAUGGUUCAGCAUUGGAAGUCUAGGCAAGGAGCAAGAAGAGGCCGGUGUACAAAAUGUAACAGUUAAAACGGUUACCUUUACUGGUACUCAGAAUGGUCUAAGAAUCAAGUCAUGGGGGAGGCCAAGCACUGGGUUUGCUAGAAAUAUUCUUUUCCAACAUGCUACAAUGGUCAAUGUCGAAAAUCCUAUUGUCAUAGAUCAACAUUAUUGCCCCGACAACAAAGGGUGCCCUGGUCAGGUAAGAUAUCAUUCUUGCUCUAACGGUCAAUUCCCAGAGUUUAAUAUUACAACUAAAUUUUCUCUUCUUCACUUUCAUAGUGUAACGUUUUUGAUAAAAACGUUGGCAUCGCCAAAUUAUAACUGUCUAAUUUCGAAACAUAUCAAAAGCUUUCUUGGGCUUCCACCUAGAAGAGCCAAUAAUUUUAGACCCAAAGCAAAUCCAAUAACUCCUUCUUCCAUGGGCUUGCUCUCCUACUACUUACAAAGGUCGAGCCUUGCCCAUUGUAACCUUUGUAACUUAUUAAUUUCAUUGUAUGUGCAAUGAGAUUGAGGGUUGUAGCUUAAGUGGUUAACAAUAUUUACUCAUGUAUUCGAAGUUCUAGAUUUAAUUCCCCUCUUUUCCAAUACCAUUUUUAUCAAAAUGACUUCAUCGUAGCUUAGCCAAAAAAGCAUUAAACUUCCCAUUAAGCCGAAUUACCAUGCUAUAAUGCUUGUUCACCUUCUGUUUUAUCAAAAGCUGGAAAUCUGACUUCCUAUUGUUUUUUUUCUUUUGUCAAUUUUGUUUUUCGAUAGGUUUCCGGAGUUCAAAUUAGCGAUGUGACAUACGAAGACAUACACGGUACAUCAGCAACAGAAGUUGCAGUAAAAUUUGAUUGCAGUCCCAAGCACCCUUGCAGCGAGAUCAAAUUGGAGGAUGUGAAGCUUACUUACAAGAACCAAGCAGCUGAGUCUUCAUGUAGCCAUGCAGAUGGAACAACUGAGGGUGUGGUUCAGCCUACAAGUUGUUUGUAGAGUGGAAAAAUAUGAACUGCUUGUAGAAGUAUUGAAAUCCAAAAGUUUGCCCUCCAGUACUAAGGACAAAUGAAAAGUGAAUUAUACGAUUUAUAUAGGAAGAAUGAGCUUGUGUUGUUGGCAGCCUACUUGGGCUUCCCUUGAGCCUGGCCGUUCAAUUAGUUUAGUUUGUUCAAACUCGUCCACUUCGAUGGGUGUUUAUGUUAUGAAUUGUUGUAAGAUUAUGUUCGGGAUACGUUAAAUUUAUAAGAUUAAAUUUUAUGUUGAUGGCUAAUGUGGCAUUUGACAUAGGAUUCAAUAUUCUAUCAAUUUAAUUCACAAUUUUAUUAUAAUCGAAGCACACAUUAAAUAGUAAAAAUUUGGUUCAAGAAACAAAAGGAUUUGAAGUCUCGCAUGAACUUUUUGGUUGGAGCAUUUUCUCAUGUCAAAUUUUACCCGUUAAAAAUUUAUUAUGAUAUUUUAACAUUUCGGUUGGAGUAUUUUUUUCAUGUCAAAUUUGACCCGUUAAAAAUUUACUAUGGUAUUUUAGCAUUUCGGUUGGAGAUGUAUAAAUCUUAAAAAUGCAUUCAAGAUGCAUUUUUGUUUCUUAAGCUUUGAGCUUUAGGUAAUUAACUUUAAAUGUUGUUGGGCACCUUGCACUAGUUGAUUAAAGAAAAAUAGACCCGAAGCAAGAUUCCUUGUAGUUGCCAAUUCGAAGUUUUCUUUAUCGCUACAUACUUACUGGUCUACAAGUUCUCUCUCUAAUACAUAAUUUGACAUAAAUAAAUACAGUGAAGAGUGCAUUGACUAAACAGAAAAAAAAACAAAAAAAGCAGCACGUAAGCAAUUACGUGCAUUUGGUGUAAAAGCUAAAGGCCUCUGAUUUAUGUAAGCAGUUACGGUAAUCAUAUUAUAUUAUAUGUAUCUUAGUUCUGCAAUUGUAACAGGAAUAAUAUUGUUUUGUUAUCCCCAAUCAAUAAUACAAUGAUACGUGAAAAAGUUAUUUAACAUGUCAUUGCGUUAUUAGCUGGGGAUAGCAAACAGUGCUAUCCCCAUUACAUGAAAGUCUUUCUCCUGCAUAUCCUAUUAUACUAUUAUAAAACUCAAUUGGUCAAUCAUAGUGAAAAAAAUAUAGUGAAAGAAAAAAGAAGAAGAAGAAAAUAUCAAUUAAGCCCCUCUUAUAUUGAACACUUCAAUAAUAAAAUAAAAAUUGCAUAUGGAGUAAAGUCAGUCAGUUAAGAUAGUAUGCUAGUUCUUUUGCACCUGAGUUCAAUUUCCUUCCCCGAACAUUUUCAAAUAAAUAAUAAUAAAAUAAAAUGUGAAUUUGAUAGUCAAUGUCGUAGUAAAAUAUGGUUUUUUAGUAUCAAUAUUAAGGAAAGCCAUUGUUCUUUCUAGCAGAAUGCCCGCCACUGCUAGAGAGAGAGAGAGAGAGAGAGCGGAAUGGCAGAAGUGAGUAACAAGCAGGUGAUACCGAGGGAGUAUGUCACUGGCUUUCCCAAAGAGUCAGACUUGUACGUGAAUAGCACUGCUACUAUCAAGUUGAAGCUUUCUGAGGCCCCCGAGCAUGAGGGUUCUUCAAAGAAACUAGUUCUAGUGAAGAAUCUUUACUUGUCCUGCGAUCCCUACCAACGACUAUUUAUGGAAAGAAUCGAAGGCCUCAGCAGCCAAUCCACUUCCUCCUAUACGCCUGGUUCUGUAAGCAAAACCCAUCAUAUAUCUUUUCCUUUCAAUUUCUGUAAACAUAUAUACCAAAUGUUAUGCUCAAAUAUAUAUUAAUUGUUAAACAUUGUUCCCUUAAAAAAAACAAUUUAUUGCAAAAUUGGAAUAUACAAGAGGUAACUCUGCACAAAUAUUAAUGACAAGAUGAGGUGGCUAAAAGCACUGUUAAUGUCUAUCAGCGCGCAAUGAGCACGAAUAACUGUGAUUAUUAAGUAGUAGGAGCUGAUAGUUGUUUUUGUUACCACAUCCUAUGCCACAAAUAUUAAUUAUUACCAAUUAUUCUUCUAGUAAUGCUUGUUUUUUUGUUGAUGGCAACAUUGGGAGGAGGGAAUCAAAUACAAGUUUGAUCAUAUGAUUAAUUUAAUUUUGUUGGUGUAAACGUGCAGCCAAUAUACGGGUAUGGAGUGGCUAAAGUUUUGGACUCUGGGCACCCAGAUUUGAAGGCAGGUGACUUAGUUUGGGGGACUACCUAUUGGGAAGAGUACAGCCGAAUCCCUGAACCCGAAGGCCUGAUCAAAAUCCAGCACACUGAUGUACCUCUAUCCUAUUAUACUGGAAUUCUUGGUAACAAGUCAAACCUAUUUUAGAUCAUGAUGAUAUGUGUUGGUUUAGAUACGUAAGUGUAUUUUUUGUAAUUUCAUUUCAGGUAUGCCUGGUUUGACCGCUUAUGUUGGUUUCUAUGAAAUUUGUUCUCCUAAGAAAGGAGAACAUGUCUUCAUUUCAGCAGCAGCUGGUGCUGUUGGUCAGCUUGUUGGACAAUUUGCAAAAUUAAUGGGUUGUUAUGUUGUUGGAAGUGCUGGCAGUAAGGAAAAGGUACGAACUUGAGAAAUCUUUGAACUUCAAAUUAAUAUUAUCUACACCAUUUUUUCUUGUUUGGGUUGUAUUUUGCUGUUGUUAUUUGGGCCAACUUUGGUGUUGGUUUGGUUUGGGGCCUCUGUUUGUGCGCUGGGACUACAAUGAGUGGAAAGUUAUAAGGGGUAAGUUAUAAGGGGUUCACUUUAUAGCCAUCAGAUCAAUCCAAGGGCUGGGGAGAAUUGAGAUAAAGUUUCACAAUUGGGUAGGUGAGGAACCCAAACCCGAAUUGAAUAUCCAGCACGUCCAAAAAGAAGAAGAAGAGGGAAACACGUUCGAAAAAGAAGAAGAAGAGGCAAGUUCGAAGUUUGAACAGAAAGAACUCAUCUCUCUAAAACCCAGAGGUCUGAGAUACCCAAUGAAGGCAACGGCUAACGACAGUUGAAGGCAACGAUUCGCCACUCCGUUCUCCAGACCCUGAAAAAGUAUUUAUUUGGAGUAGAAGGGGCAAAGGUGUGGAUUCCAAAUCAAUGAAGGGGCGAAGCAGUGGAAGGGGAAGGGGAGAAGCUAUAAUCGUUGGAAGUGGUAGGUUCCAUUUGUGGAGCAAAGAAACAGAAAGACCCCACACAGACACCUUGCAAUAACCAGCAUUUGGUGAGUAAUUUAUGGAAUUUGAGUUUAGGGUUAGAGUAAUGGUUUUCCUCAAUUUGUAGCAUAAAUUUUGUUGGAUUUGGCAUCUCUUCGUUGUGCUUGAGUUGCAUGUUAAUUUUUGCUUAGGUAUAUGUUAAAAAAAGAAUGAAAAUCAAGUCAAUAACAAGUGAAUAACAUGUCAAUAAUGAUAUGAAUAAGAUAAUGGUGUUGAAUUGGAGGAGGCCCUCAAAACCUUCCACAUUUGAAGCAGUGCAUAGUGCAGAUUAAGAAGAGGCGGUAGAAUAUAUAUAUAUAUAUAUAUAUAUAUAUUUUAUGAAGUAAAUAUGAUUUCCUUUGUUACUAAAUUUGCCUGAGAAACAUUUGAACAGAUAAUAAUAAACUCAUGAAUAGAAGUGCAAAGCAUUUGAUGAGUAAUUUAAGGAAUUUGAGUUUAGGGUUAGAGUAAUGGUUUUCCCCAAUUUGUACCAUCAAUGUUGUUGGAUUUGGCAUCUCUUAUUUGUGCUUCAAUUGCAUGUUAAUUUUUGCUUGGGUAUAUGUUAAAAAACGAAUGAAAAUAGAGUCAAUCACAUGUCAAUAACAUCUCAAUAACAUGUCAAUAACAUGUUAGUAAUGAUAUGAAUAAGAUAAUGGUGUUAAAUUGGAGGAGGCGCUCAAAACCUUCCACAUUUGAAGCAGUGCAGAGUGAAGAGUACCUCUCUGGCCCUAGAAUUUAUAUAUUUUGUGAAAUAAAUAUGAUUUCAUUUGUUACUAAAUUUGCCUAUGAGAAAUGAGAACAGAUAAUAAUAAACUCAUGAAUAAAAGUGCAAAGCAUUUGAAAUGAAGGUUGAUCUAUGACGAUUGUGGGUGACUGAAGAAAAAGCUAGAAAGAAAGAAGGAUGUGGCAAUUGCUUAGCAAGCAGAUAGCAGAGUAGAUGCUUUGCUUUGCUUCCUUCCACUAUAUUUCUUAUUUAUUUAUUUUGUGUUGUGUAUGAGAUGACAAUAAUUGUCAUGUGUGUGAAGUGCAGAACUUGCCUACAUUGCACUCACACGAGUAUGGAUCCAUAAAUAAAACACGUGAAAUUGUUUGUAAUUCACAUAAUCAUUGCAUUAACAGGUAUUUGCACAAAAUUUGUCAUAUUGCUUUGAUGAUGUUAAAGCCUAUGAUCAGUAAUCCGUAUGCUCAUGUACUUUGUAAAAUUUGUAAUGUGCCUGGUUGACUAGUUGUGAUUGUGCAAAUACGUGGCAGUAUAUGUGUUCACGUUAUUUCACAUUGUAUUUGAGGAAAUGGGAUCCAACGUGGAGCUGGUAUGGCCAGAGGCAGAGGCAUAUUCGUCACGGGUGAACAACUGCUCACAUGCAAAUUCAUCUCUAGCUGCAAUUCGAGCGAAGUUGAGUGCGGAACAAUUAGAACAAUUCAAGACAUCAUGCUUUGGCCAUCUUCUGAAUAUAGAUAAGAUUCAGUUUAGCGGGCAGAUUGUGCAUGGGGCUGUGUUGCGUAGAGUAGCGGGGCAGGGUGUGAAAGACUUGGAUGGACUGAGUUUCUUAUUAGGGUGUGACGUUGCUCAGUUCACUCGUCAGGAUUUCUGUUUGAUCACAGGGCUUCGUUUUGGGGAAGUGCCUGAAGUUUCCAGUGGAGAGAGUGAUGUAAUCAGACUUCAGAAAAGAUAUUUUAUAGACGAAGGAAUUACAUGCAAUGCUUUAGAAGAAGCAUUUAUGGGGUGCACAGAGGAAGAUGACAUCUACAAGCUAGCUCUUGUUUACUUUGCUGAGUUAGUGGUUUUGGGAAGGGACAAACAUUUGAACAUCAAUCUAAAUUACCUGACCCUUGUAGAGGACUUGGAUGCGUUCAACAGGUAUCCGUGGGGUUCGGUGUCCUUUGACAAAACCCAAGACAGUCUAUUUUCUGCACCAACAAAGUAUGUGAAAAGCUUGCAAAAUGAAGAGGGAAGAGGGAAGGGGAAAAGUAAGGUAACGGGAACAAGCCGGAGAAAUGAGAAGGGCAGGAAGGAUAAGCAUGGUGAAGCGCAAAGGAGUGGCUGGAGUUUUAAAGGUUUCACGUAUGCUUUCCAGGUACAUGGUAAUAAUGUUCAUGUGAGUUAUGUUUUGUUUUUCUUUAAAACAUAAAUAAUGACUUUUGUCCUGUGAAUUGUGUAGAUUUGGGUAUAUGAAUUAAUUCCUAGAAUGGCGGACCUGAAUUACUGCAAGGUUGUUGAUCCGACCGCUGUCCCGCGUAUUUUGCGAUGGAGAACUACUACGUCUGUUCCAGAGAUGAGAAAGUUGAACAAUUAUUUUUUCCAGAGCAAAGAGGUUUGGUUUGCAGCCCUUGGAACUAUUGAUAAGAUUGAAUGAAAUUUUGAAGUAGAAUGAUUUAAUAUGACUGUGGUUUGUAUUCUGAAACAGUCAGUUCAGUUGCGGGCGCUAUGUCCGAGUGAAGAGGAAAUGAGACAGCCAUAUUGGAGUUGGCCACAGGAUCGCCCUGAUGAGACAGCCAUAUUGGAGUUGGCCACAGGAUCGCCCUGCUGUUGUCUCGGCAGAGUCAAUUCCUUCUUUAUGUGGUGAUCUUGAUCAGUUGAACAAGGUGGUAAGCUUGUUGAGGUCCGAGUUGUUUCAAGUAAAGCGGGAAAAAGACGUCCUUCACUUAAAGGUCAUACGGAUGGAAAAACUGUUGGACCAAUGUUUAGGUCCUCAGUUUGAGCAGGAAGUAAGGAGGGACCUAGCUUUACUGAAACAGAGGACGAAGCGUUGUGUCGUCUCACAUCUAUUUAGGGGAUAUCGGGAAUUGGAUGACAUUCAAUGGGAUGAAGGGCCAAGUAACAGAAAUGAGGGAGAGGAAAAGGAAGAUGAAGGGAUUGAAGGGGGUGAAGGGCCAAGUAAUAGAAAUGAGGGAGAGGAAAAGGAAGAGGAGGGGAUUGAAGGAGAGGAAAAGGAAGAGGAGGGGAUUGAAGGGGGUGAAGUGCAAGGAAUACCAAGUGAGGUAGAGGAAGGGCAAAGGAAAAGAAGUGAAGGAGAGCAAGUGCAAGUAAAAAGUAGCAAAGGAGAGGAAGCCCAAAGACAGAGCAGUGAGGGAGAGGAAGUGAAAAGAAAAAGCAGUAAGGGAGAGAAACUGCAAAGGAAAAAAAGGGAGGGCAAGGAAGUGAAAACACAAAGAAGUGAGGAAAAGGAAGUGCAAAGAAACCAAUGUGAGAAAGAAGAUAAUGAAGUUAUGUUGCUUGGGGAUGACAUUGGCGAGAGCACGGAGGGGACACUGCUUGAGUUUACUGUCGGGGACAUUGAUUUGGAUCAACCUACAGCUGUGCUAUCUCAGUUGAACGUGUGGUUGAAUGAUAAAGGUAAAGCUGUGGCACAAGGGGUCCAAUUACGGAAAAGGAAGAGGAUCAUUCCUAUGUGGAAGAUCAUUGAAGGCAUUGAAUUGGUUCCAAAAACUGGGGCACAGACAACCGGACUGAAGAUGUUAGACCCAAUGAAGGCGAUUCCGCAUGAUGAUCUGGUGAAUUUGCUGAAACUUUGUUGGGAAUGGCGCCAGGACCCAAAGUAAGUCCCUUGCAAUUAUAAGAUAGAAGCACGACUGUAUAUAAUUUUUAAUAUACAGUGUUCUAAAACUGUUUUAUAUUCAUAGUUUAGUGAUGCAAUUUGGCAACGUGGAAGCUGAGAUUGAAUUCUUCGCUUCCCUCGUGAAAGCUGAUGGUUGGCUGAAAGGAGAUGUAAGUGUAAUUGAUUAUGCAUUUGUUUUAAUGUAUAUAGAUUAUGAGAUUGACAAGAACAACAUGUUGCAGCACAUUGAGUUGGGGUUGUAUCUCAUCCGGAAGCGACAACAACAGUUUGAGGAAGUAGAAAUAGCGGACUGGACAACGACAGAUGUUUUUUUUAUGGUAUGUCAUCGGCCUUGACCAAGUGCCGUUAAUAAUUACACAUUUUCCAUACAGACAAUAGUGGAGGUGUUUAACCAUUGAUUGUUUUGUAUUUCACAGAAUCACAUUCGAACUUGCUUUGCGGAUAAUAAAAGAAAAAAACAGCAGCUUGGGUGGAAAAUCAGAAAAAGUUUACUAAACGUUGUAAAUGGGAAGGUUCCUCCGUGUGGGAUGGAUUGGCAGAACGUCUAUACGGUGUAUACCCCAGUUAUGUUGACGAAGUACAAGCAUUGGGUGGCUGUAAUGAUUGAUCUGGUAUUGUGUGAAAUCAAAGUGUACGAUUCAAAGGUUUCACUAAUUCCAGAUGACAUCGUAAAGGAAGAACUCGCCCCGCUAUCAAUUAUGCUUCCAAAUCUUCUCAACACCAUCGACUUUUAUGAAGAAGGUGUUUAUGCAAACAAUUGCAUGCGAGAUUGGUGGUGUCCGUGGCCAAUAGAGCGUGUGGAUGUUCCACAACAGUCUAAUGAGUAAGCACAACUUGCAAUUUAAUUUUAUUACUUUCAAUUGUCAAUUACGUUAGAAUGUCAUUAGUUGAAUUGAUCGAGUUCUUGUUUUGCUUCAGAGGCGAUUGUGGCAUGUUUGUGUUAAAGUACAUUGAGCUUAUCAGCGCUCAGCUUUCGUUAGCUAUUUGCACCUCGCACAACAUGCCUUUUUUUCGGUUGAAAUUGGCUGCGGAGAUAACAAGGGGAGAUGCUUACUUCCCAUGAUAUUGGUUGAAGAUGACAAAUGGUACAUGAGAAGGUUUUGGGAAUGUCCAUUCUCAAACUAAUGUAAAUACACAAUAGAGACGUACGUGUCCUUUUCGAAUUCUACCGCUAACUCCUUCAUGACAUUUACAUGUUUGUUAACCAAACUGCAUUGAAUUGGAAUUUUAAGACUGCAUAUGUUAAUUGGGAUUUGAAGAUGGCUUUUUAAGUGUAUUACACCAUUGCAAAGUGAUAUGUCAUUGUUGAUGCAAGCCACCAUUAUUCGCAAUGAGUUGCAUCAUAAUAGGUGUGUAAACAUGCGAAAGGUUUUCGGCAGCUCAGUAGCAUAAAAGUAGAAACAAUUACAAUAUACACAAAAUGAACAACAAUUCACUUGCGUUUGGACAAGCAAUACAGACACAACAGACAAACAAUAUACACAAAAUUGGCCUGCCAUAUACAGACAUACACACAGUAGACAUGCAAUAUACACACAGUAGACAUGCAAUAUACACACAAUAGACAUGCAAUAUACACACAAUACACAUGCAAUAUACACACAAUACUCCCUUAACACACACAAUAGACAUGCCCUUGCCCACAAUAAUGAUGCAAUAUACUUCAGUCCCCAAGUACACCAACCAUAAGGAAGUCGUAUUGAAUAGGAUAUUAAACUUAACAGUUGUUCUUCCUACUAAAAGAAAGAAUAACGUCCGUUUCCCCCCUUCAUUCUUACUUCAGUGAUACUUGUGGCCCCAAUAAACAUCCAAUAUUGGGUCAAGGAUAUUCCAUAUACAUGCAGCAAACUAUCAAUAAACCUUCAAUAAACAUUCAAUAUCGGUUCUAUAACAUGCGAAAUACAUGCAGUUAACAAAUAUUACAAAAUGGGUUUAGGGUCUCAUUGGUGGUGCGUGCAACAUGUCUUGUGCGGAAGAACUUUCACAAUCUUUGAAACCAUGCAGUUAAAUGAUCCUUAAAAGAACAAAUAAAAUGACAAUUGAUACAACUAAUAAAACUAAUACCAAGUCCUUAAUGGACUUCAGCAUGUUCAGCACUCUAGCAUCAUACGUGUCAUCUUGAUGUUCUGCUUCAGCGGAGGUUACAUCAACCCAUUCGAAUCCAUUGCAACUGGUGGCUCCCUAAUUGCAGGCAUCAUAUAUGGAAUAUAAUUCUGUUAGAGUUAGACAUGGGUUUAUUUUGACCCACAUACAUAUUAUUGAAAUUAAAACUUACAUAGGAGGUUAGACACUUCCAGAAUGGCUUCCCUCGAUUUUUGUCAGAUUUUGAAACCCGAAGCACCAUUGUAGCUCCACAAUACUGACACCUCUUUGUUUGAGCAGGAGAUGAAGACGAAGACAUGUUGAAUCUUCUCAGUUGUACCUCUUCUCACUCAGAUCUUCUCACUGAAACCUCUUCGGACUCAUACCUUCUCACUCAUCGUUGUCAUUCAUACCCCUUCACUCAUAACCCUAAACUUGUCACUCAGCUCUCUCUCAUCUCUGCCCAAAUCGAGUUAUAUUUCUUUUUUUUGGGAUCAUUUGGUGGGUUGGUCACGAUCUCGACACCCGUACCGUCGGCAUUGCGACAUCUUUUAGCCCGAAAAGCAAUAUAAACUACUUCACUACCAAAUAUAUUUUCUGAAAAAUGAGGGGACACUGCUUCAAAUUUAUUAUUUUAUAUAUAUUUCAUUAAGGCAACUAGUUGGAUAAGAAUCCGUCAUUAUUGGUUCCAUUUGAAUAACAUUACUAGGGGUAGUUGGGUGUGGGAAAAUGAAAAAGUAUAUGAUGGGACCUUCUGUCACUACUCAGUAAUCCAUCACAUUUGUAUCAAUGAAUUUGAUAGUGGGAUAAUCCCACAAAUGGCUAUGCAAAUAGCCAUUUAAUGAACUUUUUGACUGUCUGACUCUGUAUGCACCGUUAUGACGUUUUCCCUUCUUUUGUCUUCAGUUUUAAUUCACUUGGGUUCAGUUUCUUUAAAAAUGGUCAACUUGGAAAAACCCCAACUGGAAACACCUUUUCAAAACACUAUAAACAGAGGCUAAAACAAAACGUGUACCCCAAAUAUUCUCAUUUAUCCCCUCUGCCACUCCUCAAAUCGUUCCAUUCCAAAAACUUUUCAAUGAAUUCGAAACACUUCACUACAGUCGGAGGAAAGAGAAGGAAGCAUCUCCAUUUCGAUAUGCCCGAAGCCUUCAUCCCGGAGUCCGCUUGGUUUCAAGUGAUGUUAUACGUGGCAACCGAAUCAUCGGAAGAUCUCUUCCGUAUGGCAUCUGUGUGCCCAUUGUUCCAAACUUUGGCAAACAGUCCACAAGUGUGGAACACCAUUUCAAUGGCAAAGUACCCACACCAUCCUAGCUGGUACCGUGCCAGACCUGCGGUCCAGCAUUUCUUGCAACAAUGCAGGGCUUGCGAUAACCCUGAGUCGAUAUUUAGAGAAGCAUUCGAUAUUUUUUUCAGGGCCAGUAAGGUGGAAGCGUUGUAUGGGAUGCGCAUUGCAGCCACGGCAGGCCAUAUGGAAGCGGCAUAUGUAGUUGGACUACUUGGUAUAUCCGGAAUUGGUCAGUCAAAAGAGGAUGCAUUACAAUUCUUGUGUUCUUUGAAUCAACGUAACAACAUUGAUAUGAAAGGAACCAGGGAUGCUUUGACACGAAGAUUAACCGGACCAAGAGUUGCAAGACAUAUCGUAGAUAUAUUUGACUAUGGGAAGAUUAAGUUCAAUCGCUGCAGCACUUGUAACAACAAUGAAUGGUAUUUUGUUAUUCAAGGCUGGCCUAGUGAAGACAAGAUAAAUCCUGCCUUCUAGACUUGUUGCAAUCGAUGCAAAUGGCACCGUGAGAGUAUUUUUUGGUUCAAACUGAUGCGUGAGUAUGUUGUGCGAGGGAAUCAUGUAUUUUUGCAUUAGUUUUAGUACGAAUUUACGGUUUUGAUGCAUUGUGGACUUACUUCUCUUCACUUCUAGGUUGGCUGGCUACGUUGUACAAAUGUUGUUUAAAUGUUGUUUAAAUGUUGGUAUUUUGUCAUAAACCGUUUUAUAUAUAAAUGUAUAAUAUUUAUUAUAUAGCGGAAUUAUUACUUACAUCAUAGACGGCUACGAAUGACAUUUUACUGACACAGAUAUUUUGCUCACCCACCCCAAUAUUCAUAUUUGGUAAACGAAAAGUCAUGCAUGGAGUAAAUAGGUGUCUUUUCACCAAUGCUUGGGAAUGACAUUUUCCCACUUAGCAUAUUCGACAGGAUUUGGUUACACGUUUCUUAAGCAAAAGUUGAACAGUGAAUGACGUUGAAUAAUUUGUUUGUGUGGAAGGAGUACAAUGGAUGACUUGUAUAUUUCCAUAUUAUGUUUGAAAACAUCCCUUCAACCUAAAAAAUAAAAAAAUUAACAAAUUGAAGAACAGAGAAACCGAUGAGCACUACAAAUGGCCUAUUCGCACGGAAAAUAAAAUUGUUUUAAACAAGUUGGACUAAAUAUAAUUAACAAAUGGACAGCCUAAAAAGUAAUAUCAUAAUAAUUAUAAUAAUUGUGGAUUAAUAAUAAUAAAAUACUAAUGUAGCAUAACCAUGAAACAGGGAAUUCAGUAGGAAGAUGAAAUCUCAAUAAGUUCGUUGAAAUGUUCGGAUCGUUUUUCUAAUUUUUGUGUAUUUAGUUCUGAAUUUUCCAAGAAAAAAAGUAAUUAAAUAAUAAUUUAGGGUAAAAUGGGAUGAUGUGGCCAUGUUGACUGACGUACACUUGUGCAAGUACUCAUAAGUGAGGGGCUGAGAUCGCGCCAGGUGUCUUCUUGGAAUUAGGGUUGGCUAUUUUAGUGGAAAAAUCCUUGAAAAUAGGUAAAAAAUAGUAGGAAAUUCCUAUUCUAGGUUGGGAAAAUUACCCGCGCCUCCUUGUGACGUCAUAAAACUAGGAGAACCUAUAAAUCAUCCGUCUCGCAAUGAAAUAAUCCAAAAUGUUUUACAUAACUCACUUCCCUCUUUACCCUAAGUAUUGAUGUUUGUUAACUUGAACUUCAAUAACCUACUUCAACAAGCAUCUCCCGUUAAUGUUGGGAAUAAUUGUCUAAAAUGCGUAACAAUGAAUCGGAGAAUUCAGCAAGGGAGAUGGAGUGUCAAUGAGUUCGUAGCAAUUUUCGGAAAUAAUUUUGAAUUUUUGUGUAUUUAGUUAUGAAUUUUGUAAGACAAAGUAAUAAAAUAAUAAUUUAGGGUAAAAUGGGAGGAUGUGGCCAUGUUGACUGACGUACACUUGUGCAAGUAGUCAAAAGUGCCGGGCUGAGAUCGCGCCAGGUGUCAUCUUCUUUUCAAUUUUGGAUUCUUUUGUUAAAAAAUCUUUGAAACUAAGUAAUAAAUAGUAGGAAAAUCCUAAAAAUGCCCCCAAAAUUACUCCGGCCUACUUGUGACGUCAUAAAACUAGGAGAACCUAUAAAUCAUUCGUCUCGCAAUGAAAUAAUCCAAAUUGUUUUACAUAACUCACUUUCCUCUUAACCCUAAGUAUUGAUGUUUGUUAACUUAAACUUGAAUAACCUACUUCAACAAGCAUCUCCCGUUGAUGUUCGGAAUUAUUUUUAAAAAUGCGUAACAAUGAAUCGGAGAAUUCAGCAAGGGAGAUGGAGUGUGAAUGAGUUCGUAGCAAUUUUCGGAUAAUUUUUUUAAUUUUUGUGUAAUUAGUUCUGAUUUUUGUAAGGAAAAGUAAUAAAAUAAUAAUUUAGGGUAAAAAGGGAGGAUGUGGCCAUAUUGACUGACGUACACUUGUGCAAGUAGUCAUAAGUGACGGGCUGAGAUCGCGCCAGGUGUCCUCUUGCUAUUAUUUUGGCUUUUUUAGUGCAACAAUCUGUGGACAUAGGUAAUAAAUUCUACGAAAAUCCAAAAAAUGCCCGGAAAAUGAGAAAAUGAAAAUUAUUUGUACAUAACUCACUUUCCUCUUAACCCUAAUUCACGUGUAACACGUAUAUUUCGGAUAAUAUUCGAUAUAUAAUUUGUAAUAAUACAAUAUUUAGUUUCACUAUAUACAAUAAUAUGUUUUGUUAUAAUAAUGUACAUAAAUAAUAAUUGCACAUGCUUUGAAGCCAUCAUUGCAACUACGCCUAGAGCUUUCAAGACGUCAGUUCGUAUUCAAUAAGUUGUCCACAUGCAAGUGCACCUACAGUUUUCAACACGUCAGAGGUAUUCAAUAAGUUGUCCACAUGCAACUGCACCUAGAGUUAUUAACACGUCAGAGGUAUUCAAUAAGUUGUCCAUAUGACGCCGCAUUGGGAAUCAGUAAUAUAUUUUCAAUCAUGUCCAAUCACAUAAAAUAAUGGCAUACUUUUUCUCAAUAACCUCACACAAGUGAAGCAAUUUUAAAACCCUUACUGAAUAUUUGUCCUAGUCUAUAUGAGUGAUUAUAUAAUCAGUCUGCAUUUUUUUCACAGUAUAUGUUAACUUUGAGAGGGAUUCCACAAACAUAAAAUAUAAAGAAAGCAAGAAAUAGUAGGAGAUGAACCAGUAGAAAAAACAAUAUAUAAAUGGUACAUAAUAAUUCCAUAACCUUGUCACAAACGCACUCACAAAAGCUUUUCCAUAAACCUUGUCCUAACAUAUAAUAAAUAAAGGCAACAUUGCAUAUGAUGCAACCAUGUCCAAAUCUGAUACGUGAUCAAAAACAAAUGGACAUGGCAGCAACAUAUGACUGAAGUAGAUGGGCUCUUUGCAUCUUGUGUUUUCGUAAUUAAAGACAUCAAAAUAUUAAGGUUUAAAUCUUCCAUAGUAGUUAGCAUCAAAAUAGCUUUGAAGCAGAGUGUAAAGAAAAUUCCAAUUCCACUGAUUUGCCUCUGCUCAAACACGAGAACCAAAAUGGUUACUUCCCUUGCUGAGUAUAUUUGGUGACGUCGGAAACGGUAAUAGAUGAUCAAUCAAACCCAGGUACGACGAGUUUUGCAUAGGAUCGGAAGUAGUCGAAUCCAGCUUGCAUCACACGCUUCUUUGACUCCACUGCAUUAGAUGAGUUCUUGUAUUUUUGAACAGCUACACUCCGAAGUCGUUUGUGUCUACGCUUCAUGCGCUGCAACUUCACCCUAUCCAGAUUGGCCUGCCUUUUGUCAUCUUCAAUUUGGCCUUCAACAAAUUCCAAACGUGCCCUUGCCCUUUGGAUUUCAUCACCAAGUUGAAGAUGCCUCUCCUUCCAAAAAGCAACAACUCUUUCAGACUCAAAACUUCCAACAAAAUGGUCAUUCUGUCUAGGAAUGUGACAUUGCUUGUCUGGUGACUCACUUGCGUGUCGAAGGCGGUCUUUGUUUGGAGGGGUGUUUAUUAUGCUCACAUCAAACUUGGUUAGUAAAUCCAUUCUUUGGGGGGAAUGAGUUUGUUUGCUUGAGAGAGUAUCAGUAGAUGGAGACAGAUUCGGUGGAGGAGUGAGUUUUGUGUGGAAGGAGAAUUUAUAUGAAAGGGGUGAUAGUAAUACCAAGAAAAGGGUUCCCGCCAAAAAAUAUUUGGUUGAGAAUGUAUAAAUUAAUUUUUGGUCUGAUACAAUCUAAGUUGAAUCCUAACUAGUUUGGUUGAGUUAACUAAGUAGAUGUCACUUCCAUUGAGUUUCUUUCAACCACUAUCAGUGGUGUCAGGAGAGUGUGAGGUUGACAUGCUUGAAAAGCAAAACCUGACACCUAUUUUUAAAAAAUUCCAUAAAAAAAGUACAUAUGUUGACUACACACAAGCUUUGGUAUGUUGGUCUAUAAACCUAUGUUCCCUUUCUCAAACGAAAUUGCAUAUGCAAUCCUCAUCCUCCCAAAACAAAGAGGAUUAUUCAAGCAUGUCAACCUCUUCAGGCGCCAACAACACAAUCGAAGAUGACAAAUUGGAGUCGCAGGUUCUAUUUCCACAUUGUACUCGCCGACCCCUUCCUUUUUCAACAUCAUUUGGGAGUGAGGGGGACUCCGAUGAUCCAUUAGAGGCAAUACAUGCAGUCAGUGGCAAGCUGGAUUAUAAUUCCAGACUGAUCAAUUCAUGGCACGAGAAAUGUGUUGAAGACGAGGCAAUUUUGGCUGAUCUUAACAUUAGAGUGAACAAAGCGUUCUCCCAAAAGAACAAGUACUUGAAGCUGAGUCAUAGCAGGAAGCUGAAAGCUGAGGAGUUGGAUACAGUAAUGAAUGAUGAAAUGAAAGGUUGUUUGCUGAACCACAUGCGAUGCGAAGAGCACCAUAGUGAACUGGAGUUGGCAUUCAACGAAGGAUUCGACAAAUUUCGAGCAUUUGCGGCAACUACUCAUACAAGUUAUGAUUGGAACUAUGUGUCCCCUGAUGCUGUGAGAGAGAUACUAGACGAUGGGGGUGACAUGAAUGAGCAUAAGCACGUCAAAGCUGCUCGGAAGAAGCCGACCGAUACGACUAAGUGAUUGCGGCUACCGCUGUUCAGUUGGUUGAGGGUGACCGUGGUAUUGCACAUAUACUCCCUUAAUGUCAUUAUCUAAUUUCAAAUAACACAAAUAUCAGUUUCAUUUGCUUCAUAUAUAAUUAUUGGGACUAUGUAUUGCAAGUCAUCAUGUGUUAUAAUGUCUAACAUUAUAUUUUGCAAAUAUGGAAAUAUUAUUCAAUAAGCAGUCAAUAUCACAGCAAGCCGGGAAUCAGUAAAUGCUCCUUAUCAUGUCCAUUUACAUUAAAGAGCUGGCGUACUAAUGUGUUCAAAAAAAACUGAGACGUGAGUCAUAAGUAACAUAACAUGUGCUAUACAUUGUUUACUGAAUGGUUUAUGGUUUAUUUUUAUAUAAUAAAAUUCCAAAUAUUGCUGAAGAUUUAUUUCGUCUAUAUGACUAGGGAUAUGAGUGGCCAUAAGCAUGUGAGACCUGCUAAGAAGAAGCUGACGAGUACGACCGAGUGAUUGUGGCUACCGUUGUUCAGUUGGUUGGGGAGAUCGUGGUAUUGCUAAGAGGGAGCACAUAAUAUGUUUUGCAAUCAAAUGUUCUUUUGUGUGUGGAAUUAUGAGUAUUUAUGUAAGUUAGUGUACCCUUUAAUAUUUUUCACCUAAGUAUCGAAAUGUAAUUAGCUGCAAUGUUAUGUUUCAUUUUUACACGCUGCUUUCUAUUUGCUCUGUUCCAACAAAGUGCUUCAAGUAUCCUUCAGUUACAAAAGUGUACAAAAUCGUGCCCCUAAUAACCAGUCGUCAAAAGUGGCUACUGCUGGAAAUGAUUACUGGUAAUGGAAACAACAGCUGGCUGCUGGAAAUGCUGCAUUAGCCUGAGGAUUUGAAAAAUGAAUCUCUGUUAAAACAUAAUUCACCCUAAACUGCCCAUUUUACAUGGUAAAGGUCAUUGCUUCUUCACAUAACUACAAAUUUCAUACUUGAUCAAAUGUCUAUGAAAAUUUAUAAAUAGGGAGAAGACGUAAAAUUAACAUGUCUCCAAAUUUCAUGGAAGAAUGAAACCAAGGAAAUUUUCAUUUCAAUUACCAGUGGACAUAGUAAGAGCUCAUCGGUGGACAUGAACAAAAACACAAUAAUAUUCAAAAACUGAAUCUAUAAAACUUCACCUGAUCAUUAAUCUUCAUAACAACCACAUUUCGUCUAAUACAAAUAUAAAUCAUUUAGUUGGUCCGUGCAUCCUGUCAAAAUCGUCGAAUAAUGGGUCACUACGAUGUAUUGGAGUUGAUUCGUCAUUGUUCGACGGUGAUGUCCUGCAUAAACAUCAAACACAAGCACAUAAAAAUUUUACCUUUUCAUAUUUUAGAUGUUAUUACAACUAGUGUUAGCAUCUUACGGUGUGUUCAAGGCUGGGCAUUGUCUUCUAUCAUGACCAAUGUGUCCACACUCCCGACAGUGUCUAAUCCCUCGCUUCAUUGCCUUUUCCUUUGCUCCCGUUACUCCUUUCGACCUUCCUUUGCACCUCACUCUCUUAGGGUCUUUCAUAUAUUGUGUUUGAGAGCUGGACCCUCCAACUUCGUUAUUACUUAGUCCAUCCUUCAGCAACUUUAACUUCACCUGCAAACUUUUUAGAGUCUCUGACAGUAGCUCACAUCCUUCUUCACUCAUUAAUGCAUCCUCAACCACAUCUGAAGCAAGUCGAGACAUUGUACUCCGCUUUAUUAGAAGGCCAGGAUCUGCACAGUCUUUAAUUUCGUUGCCAUUUGCAUCUGACACCAUUCCAGAUUUCGCAGUUUUCUUCCACCUCUUCAAAAUAUAUUUAUCGGGCAUAUAUUCAAUCUGGUCCCUUCUGAACAAUGCUAGGAUGUGCUUGCAAAUAAUUCCAACAAAUUCAAAUCUUUUGCAGCUACACGAUGCGUGGUCAGAAUCUUUGACAUAUACGACUUCUGCCACUCUUGUUUCCCAAUUUUUCCUUUCGCUCACGUUAAAGACAACUUUACAAGCAUCCUCUGUUUUGAGCUCUAGGAAACAUGCUGUACUUUGUAUUAGUUCUUGCUCAAACUUUUGAAACAUUGUCCUUGUGUACAAGGUAGCCAUUUGUUUGUUCAUUGGCAUCGGUAGAAGACAUUGAGCCACUUCAAAUGCAUCUACGUGAUCAGCAACUAACUCUUUUUCACGUUGAUGAGAAAGUGCCCUCUCAAAUCGUAUUAUGAAAUCCAUCAACGAAUUUCUCCUUGAUAUGUAUUGCUUGAAAAAACCAUGAGAACCUUCCGCUCUUUGGCUGCUUGACAUUCCAGCGGCAAAAAAUUGUCGUGCGUAGGCUGGAACCCAAGAUUCCCUUAAAUCAAACAUUGAACUUAGCCAUGGAUGGUCGGUCAAACCAGCCUUUGUAACCACAAUAUUCCAUUUUGCAUCAAACUCAUCCUUAUUGUCAGUAUCCCAUAUGGCUUUCUGAAAUUCACGCCAAUACUCCUUAUAAGCGUCACGUGGUAACUUAACAGAGAACUUUGAUGUGAUGUGCCAUAUGCAAAGUCGAUGAAAUGUACUCGGGAAGGCUAUUGAAAUCGCUAUGGCCAUUGCCGCAUCUUGAUCUGUAAUGAUCGUUUUAGGUUCCCCACCUGGCAUGGCUUUCUUAAACUCCUCAAACAUCCAAACAAACGACUCAGUCGUUUCCUUGCUCAAAAAUGCACAUGCUAAGACAAUUGUUUGACCAUGGUUAUUAACUCCCAACAUUGGUGCAAAUGUCAAGUCGUAUCGAUUCGUGUUGAAUGUGGUAUCGAAUACAACAACAUCUCCAUAAAACCCAUACGCCCGUCUAGAAGUUGCAUCUGCCCAAAAACAUCGACUAAACCUGUCAUGCCCAUCUCCCUCAAUCUUGAAAUAAAAAGCCUCAUUUUUUUUCUGUUCAGCCAUAAAAUACUCGGUCACUAGUUCAACAUCGUGGUUCCUCAGCUUCCCAUUCACACUACAUUCAAGAUUGUAGAUAUCUUUUUUGAUAAAACCGAUUUUAUCCAUUCCUCCGGAUUGCACCUUGAAAAUACUUACCUUAUGAUGAAUGGGAAUAUUAACUGAACCCAACUGUUUUGUGAGUACUUUGUAGAAUCUGAAAUAUGACGGUGUGAUCUCAAUAAAUGCAUUCUUUCUGAGGGUGUCAUCUUAUGAUUGUGUCCCUCUGCAAAAAGAGAUAUGGUAUACUUCUUGCUCCCAUUUGUCUUCACAACCACAAUCUUAGCUUUGCAAUUGCAUCUACUUAUUCCCCGUUGUCUUUUUCUCUCCCGAGUUUCAUCCUUCCUGUAUGCACCUUGUUUGCAACAUACAAAUUCUUUCCUCAAAAUCUCUUUCUUAUUUUUCCCCCAAAAGCUAGAAUGAAGUCGAAUACCAAAGCCAGCAAAGAAUGCAUAUCUAUUAUAGAAAUUGUAAACGAGGUCAAGCGAGUCAAACUUCAUCCCAACUGCUGGUGUUUCCUCAUUUCUUACUUCAGGAAUAUAAACCCUCCCAUUAGCUGUUGCACAUUCAUCACUCUCUGAGCCCCCAGACAUUUUAUCUACGUAUAUUAUUGAUCCACUUCUAUAUUACUGCAUAGCAAUUAUUCAUUCAUUAAUCAGUCAUUACUGCAUCACAACAUAUCAAUGCAUUCCACUUACACAAAACAUUGCCCAAAUUGACACAAAAUACGCAUAGCCUAACUUCCGAUUACACAAAACGCAAGCAAAAUUUCAUAAAAGUUACGUCAUCUCUUGUGAAAUAAUCUGGUCAAAAUAACAUUAGAACCAACAUGUUCAACUAAGAACACAAAUGUAAUUCAAACCACCAAUUACAGAACUUCACCCAAUAUCCUCUCCAACUGCUUACUCCUAAUGUCAUUAAGCCUAAGUUUAGGUUCUUUUACCUACAUUUCAUAAUUUUCCACCCCGACCAACAACAAUGAACUAAGAAUAUUGAAUAUUCAUAAGGAAAUGACACAUUAUUGAUGCCACAAAUGACGAAUUUCCCACCCUCACAAAAGAUAAACCUAACCCAAUAAAAUCAAUCCAGCAAGUGAACUUACCUCUCAAAAUCAAUCGGGAGCUCUGAAGUCAGUCAGCUUGAAAGAAUGUGGUGGACAUUACAGAAGACUCUUUGGUAUUUGAGACUCCAUCUCUACCAAAAUCGAGGAACAACUGCUGCUGCGGCUUCUAGCUACAAAAACAGAUAUGCUACUUUGCUUUCAUCUGGAAUCUUGUCAGCUGAAUGAAAAAGAGAAGGGGUUUUCACUUGAGCCAUAGAAUCAAAACAGGGCAACAGCUAGGUAAGAGCCAUUCUUCGUAAUACCCAGGAUACCAUAGAUCGCAGGCCUCCCAACGAGCUAAUGACAGUCGAGUGACUAUAAGGUUUGGGAGAUUUGGAUCCUUCUAAUUGUGGGUUUGCUUUACAUUCAAAAAGAAAGGAUUGUGUUCUUCAGUUUUUCACAGAGAGGGAAAGAGGGGAACAACUGAAGUUGGGUUUCUAACGGGUUAGAUUUCAACCCGAUUCUACAUGCACCCUCUUUUAAAAACUCACCGUUGGAUGAAAUCCAACGGCUCUUACAUGCCCCUCAAAAACACCCCUUAUAACUUCCCACUCACUAUAGAAGCUCCCCUGUUUGUGUUGUUGAAUUGGGUCUUUUAGUUGUUUUUGUAAACUCUGAUUUAAGUCUAGUUUGGUAUUGCUGUACUUUUAAAAAAAACUACUUCCGCUGUGCUGCUAGAAUACUCAGCUGUAAAAAAAAUUAGUUAUGCUUUUGGUAAACUAUAUUUGAAAAAGUGCUGUGAGUAAUCCAAAUGUUUGGUAAAUGACCAAAAAAAAGUGCUUUUAAUACGUACAAUGACUAAAAAGGACAUGAUGAUGGAACUAUUUGAUUUUUUCUUCAUUCUUUUUCUACUUAAAAAAAACUUCACUACAUAAUUUUUUUUUCUUUUUUUAUUUAUACUAUACACGUGUUCCUCUCUUCUCAAAAAAGUAAAUGCCUUUUGUUAUGUAUUGAAUGCUAACCCAACGACACCAAUUGGAAACCCAACACAGCCCAUCUCUCCACUUCAAUUUUUCUCUUUCUACCAUUUACAAGUUUUUUUUCUUCAUUCCUUCGUCUAACCAAAAAUAUCUCAUGUUUCCCCCAAUUAGUUUUAGUACUUUUGGGUAGGUGAGACUGAAAAGGGGAAAAAUUGUAUGUUGGGUUUAUGUUUUGGUGUUCUUGCAAUGGGAGAUAACAUAGUGGAGAAAGUAGCCAUGGUGAAAAUACAGAUUUCUGGGUUGCAGCCAUGGAGAUUUGAGCUGAUUUACAGUGCUGUAGUGGGGGUAGUUGAAGCCCCCCCAAAGUUGGGACUACUGCAACAGGAUCUUUCCACCCAAAACCAAAAACAAGAACAACAAACUCAGGUGGAACAUGAAACUCAUCACUCUCUCUCUUCCUUCGACUCGGGUUUUCUCUCUUCUUCCUCAAACCUGCGACAAAUAGAAAAACCCCCAAUUUAACAGAGAAAACUCUAGAUGCAGAAAGUUUGAGAAGUAGAAAACCAAAAAACCAUAAUUGUAAUUAAGUUAUUGAUGAAUGGGCAACCUUCUUAGCAAUUAAUUUUUUGAUGUCCACAAUGAGAGUUCCAGCAGCGUCAGAGAGUAGAGAAGGAAAUGAAGGAAAUAGAGUUCACAGAAUGGAGAAGAAAAAAGGGGCAAAAGACCGUCAAUUUGUAAAAUAAGUGAGGGUAUUACGGGAAAGUUAAAAGUUCAUUAAAACAACCGGUUAAAUUUUUUUUGAAGCAGCUUUUAAAAGCUUGGUAGAGACGGCUUCGAAAAAACAGCGAUCAUUGACUGCGAUUUUAAAAAAAAGCAGGAUUCCUGAUGUUUUCCAAACACCCAACUCAUGAAAUUUUUUUAUUAAAGCUGCUUUUUAAGAAAAUUAAACGCUGCCAAACACCACCUUAACCAUUUUCUUUGCGUGUGCCAAAUUUAUAAUUUUGACCAGUGUCAUGCAGGAAAAUGUUUCAUGCUUUGUUAACAGGGGGCUUUCGAUGAGUAUUUUAUUUAGAUGAAAAGUGAUUCAUUCCUUUCCUUUAUGGAUUCAUCUUGUUAGGUUGAUCUAUUGAAGAAUGAGCUUGGAUUUGAUGAGGCUUUUAACUAUAAAGAAGAGGCUGACUUGAAUGCGGCUUUCAAAAGGUGCAUAUGAGUAAUGAUAGAGAGAUUACAUUUAUAAACCCUAGCGGACCAUGAAUAUAAUGAGUCUUAAAUCUAUUAGACAAUUGGUUAGUUGACAGGUGGUAUACAAAGCAGUCUACAAAUGUGAUCUCCCUAUCAUUUUCCGUAAAAUACAUAUUUAUUAUGUUAUACUAGUUUCCUUUAGUAAGAAAAGAAAGGAAAAAAACUAUUAUUAAGAAUUUGUGUGUUGUUAGGGUUCAUCAUUGGGCUGGGCCAACUCAAAAAUUUUGGGUUCGAGCCGAGCCCUCAUGGGCCGAAAUGGGCCAGACUUUUUGUUAAAAAGUCUUUUCAAUCUUUUUGUUACACAUUUCGUUUUUUCAAAAGUGAUGGAUAUAGAGUAUUCUCUUAAACAAUAGUAUAGAUUACUACAUAAUUUAAGAAAACAAAAAUAUAAUAGCCAAACUUUUUUACUAAACCUAGACCAAUAACCAAUAUAUUUAAAAAAUAUUAUACCUAAAAAUGAAUCUUAUGAUGUGCAAUUUGUGCCUUAAUUAACUUAUAUCCCAAAUUAGGAUUGACAUCAUGAAAAUUAAAGCAAUUUGUGCCUUUAAAAUUAAUAAACCCAGAAUAAGCUUUCAAAUUCUUUAUUGAACCGUUAAAUUUGAACUUGACAAAAAAGGGGCACUAAGAGAUAUAGUGCAUAUAUUGCUUGUUUGUUACAAAAUUUUAGACAACAUUGAAAAAAUUAACUUAAUUUAUAACAUGUGUAAACAAAAUAAAAAGUUUAUUAGUUUAUCAUACAUAUUACAUUAUUUUGAUUAAGUAUAAAAUGAGGUUAGGGAAUGCAUCAAUUAAUCUUAAAAAAAUGAAAAGCAUAAGCGGGCGGGCCGAGCGGGCCUAACCAUCUUGCUAGGCUGGACUUUGACCCAUCAAGCCUCGGACUACCCACUUCGGAGCCGCGGGCCAAAUGAUGAUCCCUAUAUGUUGUAUAUGAUGCUUUGAAGCUUGAGCUUUCUUGAGUGAAGGAUAAAUUUUCUUUGUAAUUACCAUACACUUGCCAGGUAUUUCCCUGAAGGCAUUGAUAUUUACUUUGAGAAUGUUGGAGGCAAAACGCUAGACGCAGUGCUCCUCAACAUGAGAGUCCAUGGCCGCAUUGCUGUAUGUGGAAUGAUCUCACAGUACAAUCUUGAUCAAGCAGAAGGGGUAACAAAUUUGAUGCACCUUGUGUAAAAACGUAUCCGCCUCCAUGGAUUUUCGGUAAGAGAUCACUAUCACAUCCAUCCGAAAUUCGUGGAGUUUAUGCUGCCUUACAUUAGGCAAGGAAAGAUUGUUUAUGUGGAAGACAUAGUUGAAGGCCUUGAGAGUGGUCCAAGAGCGCUGGUUGGACUUUUUAAGGGUCUUAACUUUGGAAAACAAGUAGUUGACGUCUCUGCAUGAAUAAGUUGUUUUGUCAAUCGAUUUGGUGUGCUUGUGUUUCUAACCACUAUAACUUUGUUAAGUGGCUCUUUGGUUUUAUUUUUAUGUUUUUGGAUCCUUUUUGGGAUUGCAUAUGUUAAGUGGUGCACUUUGUCAUACAGAAGAUAUUCAUCAAUAAUAAGGGCUAAUUCAGGAUUGUUGUCACUUUUAAAAAAAGAUGCUUCUGUUGUGUUUUGGAAAUAAUAAGCUGUAAAGUAGUUCCAUGCGUGUUAAACAAUAUUUUUAAAGUGUUGUUAGUAUAAAAAGUUAUGUCAAAACCGUUUGGUAAAUUUUGAUAUAAAACUAGUAACUGUUGAUAAUGACUAAAACAUACAUGAUAUGUCGAAAGUGUUACGUGGUAACCAUAUGGUGGUGGUGGCGGUGGUGGUAUAGGUGGAGGUUGAGUUGGUGGUGGUGGUGGAGGUGGAGGUGGUGGUGAGGCGUGCUACGGGCACCAACUUAAAUACUAAUUUAAUGAUACCAACCUAUGUGGCAUAUGACAUGACAAUUUAUGUCAUAUGCCACAUCAUUUUUUUUAUUAGUUAAGUUUUAACAAUUUUUUGUCAGAAUUAACUUAAUUAUUUAGUUUUAAAUAAAUAAAUUCUGCUCCACGCCUCCCUUCCUUCUCGGAUCUACUACCAUGGCCUCCUUCCUCCCCAACUUGUAUGCCCUUAUUAUUACGCACAUUGAAUUUGGCUUUCGGGGUGUGACAUAUUUUUACCAAUCCCAUGAAGCUUUUCUUAUCUUUGAAUGCUUGAGUGCUAACCAUUGUGUGUUUCCCUUGCUUUAGGAAGAUUGCCUCACUCAGCAAGAAUGCAUGGUGAGGUGUUUGUGAAUGGUGCAAAAUCGGUACAUGUACAUGGCCACGACACCGAUAUAUAAAUGAGAAGAGAAUUCCUUGGUCAGUAUCAAUAUUGCGAAACUGUUGCAGCAUUGAAGGGUUGUGUGAACUCCUCGAUUUCAAGCGAAGUCGAAUAUUGCUUGAUGUGGAAGAUGGCUCAAACUAAUAAAAAUGAGGAAAACGGAUCAUACCAACAAAAAUAUGGCAGAUGGCCAGAAUCAAUAUAACCGUGGUCAGAUUUGGGAAGUGAGGCCAUGGCAGAUUCGGAGAGGGAGGGAGGCCAUGGCAGAUCUAUAAAGGAAUGGAGAAACAGAUCACACCUCUUCCCUUCUCCUCAUACCACAACUCAUCAUACACACCCAAUCGAUUUUGAAAUAUUACAUAAAAGUUGUGAUGGCGCUGGAACUGCAGAUUCAGAACGUUUUUUAUAUGCUUCCCACAAGCAGUCAGACAAACCCUUAGAGGACGAGUGACAUCAUUACCUUCUCAACUUACCAAAGAAAGAACUCCUUCCGAAGUGGUAACCACUUGCCGAUGCUCCCAACUACAGAACCAAGUUUCCAUGGACACGUGUCACCUCCACAAUAGUUUGCACAAAGUCCGACAUUGAAACUUUGUGCAAAACUCCCAUUUUCAGGGAACAGUACCUAAGGAAAAGGGGUAACUACUUUUCACAUUUACUGUUACUCUGCCAAAAUUACCACAUAUACUCGCUGACUUAAGUAUUGGAGAGUCUUCGGCAGGUACCACACCAGUGUCCGAAGCUUGACGAUCCCUUCUUCCUUGUUUUCUUAUGCAAGAUCCCUCCAUACCGAAGGUCCACAACCUUCUCCCUUGCUGAAGAUUUAACACUCCUUUAUCUAAGUUAACCCUCCGAAAAAGAGCAUCAACACGCGCAGCACUCAUUAUCUUUCAACAAUCUGAUUAUCUUAUACUAGUUAAUUUAUGGGUUGUUUGAUAACAAUUUCAAUUUUAAUUUUUAGUUUUCAUUUUCAUUUUUUUUGAAAACUGAAAACAUGUUUGGUAUUAGAUUUCGUUUUCAAAUUAAAAAAAAAGUGAAAUCUAGUUUUCAAAAUCACCUUUUUUUUAAAAAACAACUUGGAAGUGUUUUAUGUUUUUUUUUUAUGUUUUUUUUUUUUUUUUUUUUUUUUUUGUGCACUAUUGUUUGUUGGAGUGUUAGUUGACUUUCUUUGCACACCAAGGUUUCCCAUAUUAACUCAUGCAUAGAUUGGAAUUGAUUUCCUACUCUAAAUAGUAUUAGAAGUUAUUAAUUACCUUACUUAGCCUUCAAGGAAUAUUGUAUUAUAAAUAUGGCCUUCUACAAGGAGAAGAAUACACAGAAAAUUCUCACCACAAUUACUCUUUCGUAAUUUUAGCAUUAUUUCAUUCAUAAGUUUCACAUCACCACACAUGAAAUGCACUCCGGUUACCAAAAGUCGGUAUUUGGGACCUCCCAACUUGGACUUGGUCGCUCAAUUCGUGCUUUUGGCCACAAUCCCAAUCCAAACCUCGUCAACUCCAUGUCCAAAGGUCACUAAAAAAUAAUCAUAAUUUUAAAAAAUUCACCAAAAAAUAUUACGAAUUUUUUGUCAUUCCUGCUUUAACUUUACCUUUUGUUUUCAAAUGUUGACCCGUCCCAACCCAACUCUCAAUGCUCGAAGGGUUCUUUCGUGUAGUUAAGAGUUGGGUUUUCCAAGGUAGGUCUAUAUUGAUUCGAACAACUUUGCGGUAUAUCUGUGGGUAAGAUACUGUUCUCAAAGUAGUAAAGGCUGAACUAAAAGGCUAAAUGGGAAAAUGAAUACUUUCUUUUCUCUUCCUCAAGAAACAUACAUCCUCACCACAAGAGAGGGAGAGUUGCUUGGUAUUUUGUUAAAUAAAAUAAAAUAAUUAAUAAUUGAAAAUAGAAAAUGUUUGAAAAGGAUAUUGGGAAUAAAGAGAGAAGAUGCGGGUGUGAGUAAAAUAACAAUAAAAGAAAAUUAAAUCAAAAAUAAAAAAAUAAAAAAAUAAUUAAGUUUUGGGGAGUAGAAAUCGGGAUGGAGGGGGGAGAGAGAGGUUUUUUUUUAAAAAUUUUUUAUUCGUAUUUUAAUCAAUUUUGAUAUUGUUGAGGCCCAAAAAAGUUACGGGAAGCCCAAAGACAUUUAAAGCCCAAUAUAACAUAUAUUCUCAGUCAUGCGUUAAUCCAAGCUGUAAUUCGGAUUUAAUUCAUUAAAUAAAUAUAAAAUAGUGUACAUGUCAUGCUAAACUAAUAAUACAUUUUCCCCAUGCUAAUCACCUAUCAAGCUCACAUGAACCCAAGUCAUGUGAUUUACGGGCUUGCAUGAGGGAUUGUGGUGUGGAAGGUUACGGAGGUCCACAAGGCCCACGGAAGCUCUUGGAUAACAGAGACUUUGGGCUAGCUACUUGAGAGCACCAAAGUCCAAGCCCAUUACUUAGAGUUCUCCAAUGUGGGUGAGCAAAUGAGACAUUUUUCAAGCACUGCCUUUUACCUAUAGGAAAUAGUCAUUUUCCAAAUACCAAGCUUUACCCGUUGGAAACAAGCAUUUUCCAGCACUUCCUAUUACCCAUUGGAAACAAGCAGUUUCCAGUGCUUCCUUUUACCAAUAGGAAAAAAUCUGUUUAUGAUACCUAGCUUUACCUAUUGGAAAAUAGCAUGUCCUAGUCCUCCCUUUUAACCAUUAGAAAUAGGUUGGUUCCAAUACCUCCCUUUACCUAUUGGAAAUAAAGGAAAACCCUCACCCUCUAUAAAUUGGCACUCAUGGCUCAAGCAAAAGGCACCAAUUUUUCUUCAGCCAAUACUUCCUCACUCGGCUACUGCAAGCAUCCCAGCAGCCACCAACCCCCAUAAAGCAUCACCUAGCUCCAAGCUUUUCCUUCCUUCCAAGCUUUAAACACCAUAGCCUUUAAACCUCAAGCUUUUCCUUCCAUCCUCCUUCUCUUGAAACUCUUAAAUCCCCAUAGCCAUAGCCACACACAACAAAUUAUCAACACCAAACUCAAACAUAUCCAACACCAAGCCAAGCACAUGCAUUCUCAUUUGCUAAACUUGUGGGUCUUUAGCUCCUACACUCCAAGCUCUCAUGCUAAGCUCACAUAAUCUCAUACCAACAUCAGCAAGUCAUCUUCAACUCUUCGUCGAGCUGCCGAAAACAUCAACACAAAACAUGCAGCCGUUGGAAGAAGAACAAAGUACUCUCCCGGGACUUGCUUUUCCCUUGGGACACUUUGGGCCUAGUUCUCGCUAACUCAGAUAAAGGAACAACGAAGUCUUCAUUCAUCACUCUAUGGCGACCCAAGAAUCAACAAAGCCCGGAUGAGCCUUCGAACGAAAGUGACCACAUGCAAAGCUCAAGCUUCAAUAGCCAAGCCCAAGCUUUUGGUUCCUAAAAACAUGCUUACGACAGCUGCAACAAACAAUACCUAAGUCACCAUAAGUGAUAUGCCCCAGCGUCUCAAGCACUUUCUAUGCCCUGACAAUUCUAAUGAUCAAGUUUUAGAGUCAAACCAAAAGGCCAUUGGGAUGUCUCAAUUGCCACAAUUCCAUAAUCAAUCAUCAUCAAGCCUCAAGCCUUAUUCAAGAAAUCCAAGCACUAUUCUUUACUCAAGAAGGAAAACAUCUCAGUUCGUGGCAAAUAGAAGGAAAAUACUACGAAGGUACCGGAAGAACCUAAACACUGUCAAGAUGAAGUUUCCUUUACCAAGCAAUCAAAAUUUUUGAAGUGAUGUCAAGCUAUCAAGAAAAAGAGUAAAGUCACUAUGCAACACAACAACCAAAAUAUGCUUGUAGUAACCAAGAUUCAAGCCAAGCAAAAUGUGGAAGAUAAUGAUGCGUUGUAUGAAAUGCUCCUGGAAGAUAACACAAGCCCUAUAGUCAUGCUGCCGGAAGAGUGAACCAUCAUGCCACUAAAUUUGAAAGAGGAGCCCCAUAUCUGAGUACUGGAAGGCAGCGCAGUGGACUCCAAAACUAAGAUCUAGUCCAAGUGACUUAAGGCCUCCAUAUUGCAAUGCUUAUUUGCCAACACCUAUACCGCUUUCAAGCUACUGCAGACACUAUCAUGCUCAAAUCCUUAAGCAUCUCCCAUUGUAUUUUCAUCUUCUAAUCUACCAAAGCCCUCAUGAUUGACCAAGCUAUAUCUUGAUUCAACUCCACCCACUUGCUCUUUACAGCAGCCCAGGCCCAUCUGUAGCUGCCGGAACAAAAAAGCCCCAACGUAAAUGACAAAACCGAAACACUAAAGCACAUCCACCAUGCUAAAUAGCCCAAAAGCUAUAUUAAACCACGACACUUUAGCCAAUACCAAGCGUACAAGCCAAUGCCCAGCAUCCAAGCAUACAAGCCAAAGCUUAGCGUACAAGCCAAUACUAAGCAUACAUGCCAAUGCCAAGCAUACACACCAAUGCCAAGCAUCCAAGCCAAUACCAAGCGUACAAGACAAAGCCAAGCAUACAAGUCAAUACCAAGCAUACAUGCCAAUGCUACGCGUAUACGCCAAUGCCAAGCAUCUAAGCCAAUACCAAGCAUACAAGCCAAAGCCAAGCGUACAAGCCAAUACCAAGCAUAUAUGAGCCCAAGAUCAAGCGUACAUGCCAAUGCCAAGCAUCCAAAUCAAAUACUAAGAAUACAUGUCAACAUCAAGCAUACAUGCCAACACCAAAUAUACACGUAAAAACCAAGGAAGCAAGCACGGAUGUUUCAUGCAUAUUGAAGAACCAGCCAUGUCAUGCCACUGCCAAUUAUUUUGGGCUGAAAUAGAUUAUUGGGCCCAUCUCACUGCCACUUCAUAGCCCCAAUAAUCAAGGGGGCUAAUGUUGAGGCCCAAAAAAGUUACGGGAAGCUCAAAGACAUUCAAAGCCUAAUAUAACCUAUAAUGUCACUCAUGCGUUAAUCCAAGCUGUAAUUUGGAUUUAAUUCAUUAAAUAAAUAUAGAAAUAGUGUACAUGCCAUACCAAAAUAAUAAUACAUUUUUUCCAUGCCAAUCACCUAUCAAGCUCACAUGAACCCAAGUCAUGUGGUUUAUGGGGCUUGCAAGAGGGAUUGUGGUGUGGAAGGUUACGGAGGUCCACAAGGUUCAUGGAAGCUCUUGAAUAAUGGAGACUUUGGGCUAGCUACUUGGGAGCACCAAAGUCCAAGCCCAUUACUUAGAGUUCUCUAAUGUGGGUGAGCAAAUGAGACAUUUUUUAAGCACUUCCUUUUAUCCAUAGGAAAUAGUCAUUUUCCAAAUAUCUAGCUUUACCCGUUGGAAACAAGCCUUUUCCAGCACUUCCUAUUACCCACUGGAAAUAAGCAGUUUCUAUUACUUCCUUUUACCAAUAGGAAAUAAUCUGUUUAUGGUACUAGCUUUACCUGCUGGAAAAUAGUAUGCCCUAGUGCUCCCUUUUAACCAUUAGAAAUAGGUUGGUUCCAGUACCUCCCUUUACCUAUUGGAAAUAAAGGAAAACCCUCACUCUCUAUAAAUUGGCACUCAUGGCUCAAGUAAAAGGCACCAAUUUUUCUUCAGCCAACACUCCCUAACUCAGCUGCUGCAAGCAUCCCAGCAGCCACCAACCCCCAUAAAGCAUCACCUAGCUCCAAGCUUUUCCUUCCUUCCAAGCUUUAAACACCAUAGCCUUCAAACCUCAAGCUUUUCCUUCCAUCAUCUUUCUCUUGAAACUCUUAAAUCCCCAUAGCCAUAGCCACACACAACAAAUUAUCAACACCAAACUCAAACAUAUCCAACACCAAGCCAAGCACAUGCAUUCUCAUUUGCUAAACUUGUGGGUCUUUAGCUCCCACACUCCAAGCUCUCAUGCCAAGCUCAUAUAAUCUCAUACCAACAUCAGCAAGUCAUCUUCAACUCUUCGUCGAGCUGCCGAAAACAUCAACGCAAAACACGCAGCCGAUGGAAGAAGAACAAAGUACUCUCCCGAGACUUGCUUCUCCCUCGGGAUACUUUGGGCCUAGUUCUCGCUAACUCAGACAAAGGGGCAACGAAGUCUUCAUUCAUCACUCUAUGGCGAUCCAAGAAUCAACAAAGCCCGGAUGAGCCUUCGGACGAAAAAGACCCCAACAGAUAUAAAAAUACCAUUUUUCCCCUGCAGUUAACAGAAAAGUUAACAGCCGGACCAUUUGUCCUAACGAAACUGAAGUUGAAGAACUACGGGAACCAUUUUGAAAAUUGAGGUACUCAAAUACAAAUCGGGUCUAAGUUCAGGGAUUAAUAAAACAAUUAACCCCUGAGUUUAUAAUGCUCGAGAGUAUAUAGGAAGAGGACACUCCAACUGGCAGCUAUGGAGGAGGCCAAGACUAGUAGUGUCUAUUCUGUGAAAGCUAACUUUGCUUUCUUAUUAUCCACAACUUAGAUAUAUCAAUGGCUUCUUGCAAGAACCUCAAUUCUUUAUGAACUUUCUGCCCUAAAAUGCUUUAUCUAAUAGCUCAGACAAUGGUGAAAGAAAAAAAAUUGUUGUUGGAAUCUUAGCAUAAUAAUAUUUUCCAGCCAAAAUCAGUUGUUAGAUUCUCCAACAGCACAAUCUCUUUUCGCAAUCACAUACUAGUCAAUCCUACAGAGCAUAAGAUCCUACUUUGAGGGGUGGAAAGGAAUGAAUUCAACUCACCACUAUUAUGACCAAGGCAAUAAUUUUCAUUUCCAUCACAUGAUUCUAGGUGACCCACAACUCCAUACCACCAACCUGCAAUAUAUACAGAAAAUCCUAUCAAGCAAUGGACAAUGGGAAAUUAAUUAAUUUCACCUUUUAUUUAAGUUUCUGCAUAUUAAACGAAUCUACUUUCAUUAUAUAUUUAAGGGAAAUGUAAGCCUUUUUUUUCGUUCUUUACCCUUUUUUUUCCUCACCUUAAUGGGGCUUGAGGAUGUUUGAAUUGUUCGCUAGAACUACUUUCAUUAUCUAUUUGAGGCAUACUUCAUGAACCACAUGGAUUCUAGGAAGUGAUAUAGACCUUUGUUUCUUUCAUUUGAGCCCUUCUAGCCAACCCGUAUCACUUUUAUCCCUUGUUAAUCACCUUGUGCCUUUUAUGUAAGCCUUUUUUUUCGUUCUUUACCCUUUUUUCCUCACCUUAAUCUAUCAUAUGUUACCCUUCUAAGGAGUUUUGUACAGUAUUUUCGUUGUUAAGGGAGAAUUGCACAACAAUCAUGUGGAAAGUAAAGGAUACUAUUUCCAAAAAAAAAACCUAAUUUCAAACCCUUUUCAACUCGAGUUAUUGAGCCCUAUGAGUGUUUUACAUUUAAUUUCGUAAAGCUAUGUAGCUUGGGAGUCAUUGGCCUAACACUCGCUGCAUGGGUUGAUUAGAAAGCUAAUGAAGAGUUAGAAAAAAAAAUUGUGAAAAAUAAAUAAAUUUCAAGACAGUAUCAAUAUGAAGUUGCGUGCUCAAAGUGCAAGAUGUUAUAAUUUUCAUGGAAAGCUCUAUGAAUUCCUUAGAAUUUGUUCAUCCAUAUCUUUUUCUUGUUUCACCCGUCACUCUAAGCCCCAUUACAACCUUAUUUGAAGACUAUUCUGCUAUUUUCUCAAGGCGUGCAAUAUAUGACUGGAAAGAUAAGAUAAAGACCUACAAUUUACAUAUUUUUUCAGAAUUUUCUCGGAGGAGGAAUGAUUCCAAACGUGGGUGCAAAGUAACUAACGUGUUAUCCUAGUCCAAGUAGGAAGAUGAGUCAAUUACUUACCCAUUUUGGAUUUAAGUUUUAAUUAGCUGUUUCUUUAUUUUUGGGCUGUUGUAAAAGGCCAGCUAAGGUAGGAAUAGACGUGUGGCAUUUUAUUUAAGCAUGAGACAACUCCUUUGGGAAGACGCAAAGACUAGGAGAAAUUGGAGACGCCGGAAGAGUACCACAAUUGGCUAAGUUUUAUUGUUUCUUCCUUAUGUUUUUGUUUAUGUCAAAUUCUAUGAUUAUGUGUAACUAAUUUUAUUUUGCUAGGGCAUGAUGUAUGCCUAGUAUGAUAAUCUAGUUUUCUUAUUUUACCUAUCUAUUGAUUGCAGUUUGAUGUUAGAUUCUUAAUCACUGUGCUUAGUACCUUAGUUGAUUACCUUGAUGCUUGAUCACCAUCUAGACUUUUAAUUGAGUUAAUCGGAUGCGAAUUAGAGUAAAUACCAUACUUAAUUUGAGGUUUGCUUCUUGUGAUUAGAAUUUGUAAUUUGUCUAAAGUAAAUACCAUACUCCUAGAAUUUACAUGCUUGUUGGAGGUUUUCACUGAUUUCAAUAUUUUCCCGACAUGUGAUGCCAACAACAUAGAUGUUUCAAUGUUUCACUAUGGAAGCAAUCACGUAAGGAUUAACAUGGCAGGACAUCAGACAUGAGAAACUAAGAAGAGAGAGAGAGAGAGAGAGAGAGACUUGCCAUUCAAGCAAGAGAAGGCCAUAACACUAUAUAGCAAUAGCACCGUAAAAUAAGAUGCAAAGAAUGAGGGGGUCAUGUUUUCAAGUACCAAAACACGCAAGGGCAUUUUGGUAAAGUACAUCUGAAAAUAAAUCAAGGCAAGCAAAGCCGUAGAUAUCCUCUUCCUGCUACACAUAGUAUUAGCCUACGUAAGGUCAUUACGGCGCCGUUUCCCUUUUUAAUUGGCGUAGUUCAACUCAUCAUCCACCCAAGUUCAUUUCGUUCAAAGCUAUAAAUAACCCCUCAAACCAUUCAACUUUCCCACCACCACUCCUCACUCCUUCAACUCAUUAACCUCUCUCUCUCUCUCUCUCUCUCUCUCUCUCUCUCUCAUCCGCAAAUGGCGAACCGUAGAAGCCUCUUUUCUCUCUCACUUAUCUUUGUGUUCAUGAUCAACUCAGCCAUAGCCACUCCAGUCACAUACAAUGUGGCCAGUUUAGGAGCCAAAGCAGAUGGCAAGACUGACUCCACAAAAGCCUUCCUCUCUGCAUGGGCUAAAGCUUGUGCCUCGAUGAAUCCCGGUGUCAUUUAUGUGCCGGCAGGAACGUUCUUUCUUCGCGAUGUGGUGUUCAGUGGGCCUUGCAAGAACAAUGCCAUCACCUUCCGCAUUGCCGGAACCCUUGUGGCCCCGUCGGAUUACCGGGUCAUCGGUAAUGCAGCUAACUGGAUUUUCUUUCACCAUGUAAACGGGGUUACCAUAUCAGGUGGAAUUCUUGACGGCCAAGGCACGGCCUUGUGGG
rnacentral:lncRNA from 1 species